AGCCUGAUGCAGCGACGCCGCGUGGGGGAUGACGGUCUUCGGAUUGUAAACCCCUUUCAGUAGGGACGAAGCGCAAGUGACGGUACCUGCAGAAGAAGCACCGGCUAACUACGUGCCAGCAGCCGCGGUAAUACGUAGGGUGCGAGCGUUGUCCGGAAUUACUGGGCGUAAAGAGCUCGUAGGCGGUUUGUCACGUCGUCUGUGAAAUCCCUCGGCUUAACCGGGGGCGUGCAGGCGAUACGGGCAGACUUGAGUACUACAGGGGAGACUGGAAUUCCUGGUGUAGCGGUGAAAUGCGCAGAUAUCAGGAGGAACACCGGUGGCGAAGGCGGGUCUCUGGGUAGUAACUGACGCUGAGGAGCGAAAGCAUGGGUAGCGAACAGGAUUAGAUACCCUGGUAGUCCAUGCCGUAAACGGUGGGCGCUAGGUGUGGGGUCCUUCCACGGACUCCGUGCCGUAGCUAACGCAUUAAGCGCCCCGCCUGGGGA
rnacentral:rRNA from 1 species